rnacentral:rRNA from 1 species
GCUCAGGAUGAACGCUGGCGGCAUGCCUGAGAUAUGCAAGUCGAACGGUACGUUUCGAGAGCUUGCUCUUGAAACACGAGUGGCGGACGGCUGAGUAAUGCAUAGGAAUCUGCCCCAAACUGGGGGAUAGCUUCGGGAAACUGGAGGUAAUACCCCAUGGUCCUCACUUUUUGUGAUGUAAAGGGUUUAACUGCCCGGUUUGGGAUGAGCCUAUGUCCUAUCAGGUAGUUGGUAAGGUAACGGCUUACCAAGCCUAUGACGGGUAGCUGGCCUCAUGAGGGUGGUCAGCCAGAGGGGGACUGAGACACGGCCCCCACUCCUACGGGAGGCAGCAAUUAGGAAUAGUCGGCAAUGGGCGAAAGCCUGACCGCGCAAUGCCGCGUGUGGGAUGACACUCUAACGAGCGUAAACCACUGUGGCGAGGGAAGAAGUCUUCGGAUUGACGGUACCUCGCUAGAAAGGGGCCGCUAACUGCGUGCCAGAAGCGUCGGUAAGACGUGGGCCCCGAGCGUUAUCCGGUGUUACUGGGCGUAAAGAGUCGUGUAGGCGGUUCGAAAAGUUACCUUUUAAAUCCCAACGCUCAACGUUGGAACUGGAGGUAAGACUCUCAGACUAGAGUUUUCUACAGGGUGAAUGGAACUGUGGGAGGAGUAGUGAAAUGCGUUGAUCCCCACGGGAACACCAGUGGCGAAGGCGGUUCACUGGUAGAAGACUGACGCUGAGACACGAAAGCUAGGGUAUCGAAGCAGAUUAGAGACCUGCGUAGUCCUAGCCGUAAACGCAUGCUUGCUAGCUGCAUUUCCGCCCCUUCGGGGGUCAGGUGUGGCGAAGGUAACCCGUUAAGCAAGCCGCCUGGGGAUUACGGUCGCAAGACUAAAACUCAAAGGAAUUGGCGGGGAGGCACACAACCAGUGGAACAUGUUGUUUAAUUCGAAACAAACCGAAAAACCUCACCUGGGUUUGACAUGUAGCUGCUCACCCUAUGAAAGUAGGGCUCCUUCGAGGGUGCUACACAGGUGCUGCAUGGCUGUCGUCAGUUCGUUCCGUGAGGAGUGCCCUUAAGUGGGACAACGAACGCAACCCCCAUCGUAUGUUAUAUCUGUCAUACGAAACUGCCUUGCCGUUGGCGAGGAGGAAGGAGGGGCAGACGUCAAGUCUGCAUGGUCCUUAUACCCAGGGCUACAAACAUGUUACAAUGAGAAGCAACAAUGAGCUUCGCGAGCUCGCGAGAGUCAGCAAAUCUCAGAAACCUUCUCUCAGUGGGGAUUGGAGUCUGCAAUUCGACUCCAUGAACGCGGAAUUGGUAGUAAUCGCAGAUCAGCUACGCUGCGGUGAAUACGUUCUUGCCUCUUGCACACACCGCCCGUCAAGCCAACAAAGUCGGGGUGAUAUGAAUCUCGACAUAGGUCGAGAGAUAUUGCUUUGGCGAUGAGGGUUA